GGGGGGGGGAGAUCCUCGCCAUCAUCGCAACUUCUGAGCAAGAAGGUUCCAGCCUGUUGGACAUCCAUGUUAACCGACAUCCAAAGUGGGGCAUCCGGCUGCGUCGAGACAUCGCAGACUGUUGUCCAUGUUGCUCGCAUUUGGCACCUGUGGCCUGACAUGAGCGUGCGGCAGUGGAUUCUGUUCGCCUCGCUGCUCCAGGAGCCAGGUAAACCUGGGAGUGAUACCAUGGCCAGAAGCGGAAGGCAAUGGAAAGAUCACAACGCUACACGUGGCGUCUUCGAUGCGCUCACCUUGCUGGUUUGAAUCGUGUGGUGGACUCCCUACUGCCUCCCCCGCUUCACCUGGUGGCGACACACGAAAGGUCAGCACCGUCUUGGCCCGAAAGAUCGGCGCACGACAAGAACAUGUCGACCUCUUGCCGGUUGUUCCCGGUGCCAAUGAAAAAGAAACACAACGCACACGUAUGUGCGAAGCACGGUG
rnacentral:lncRNA from 1 species